AUUCUUUUUUUUUUUUUUUUUUUAUUCCUUUAUCUUUUCUUUUUUUUUGCUUAUUAUUAUUGAAGCAGAAUUAUGCAUUACUAAAAAAAACAACACAUAAAAGGCAUUUGUAUAUUAUUUAGAUCAUUUAUUUAGCAUUUAGAAUGAUAAUAAUGUGGGCUCUGUUUUCUGGUAUGAGCUCUUUUUAUAGUUCUCUGUAAUAUUUCCAGCCUGGUCACAAGAUCUUUUGUGUUUUGAAAGUGAACAUAAGUUGUCAGCUGCUGGAGCUUUUACUCUGUUGACUUAUUGAUGCUAGGGCAUGUCAAAAACAUGCAGUAUCAUUUAAAUAAUGGAGGAACAUUUAGAAGUAGUGAGGUGAAAAGAAAAAUUAUUGUUUCAAAAGUGUUACUAUCAGCAGAAGUGUUCUCAUUGUGAAUGUGAACAAGUCCAUCUUCCUGUUACUUUGGUGUUCCUAUUUAUCCAAUUACAACAUACAAAAUAUUGGGAAUCGUUCUUAUAUUCAAGUUGUAACAGAAAGAUAAUGUAAAUUAUGUUUGAUUUUUGCUUAACAUUAGAAAAAAAUAGCCUCAUAAUAAGUCACAAGAUAGCAGGUAAAUUUGAAUGUGAGCAUUUGUAUAAUUAUCAUUUUACAAAGAUCAAAUAUGUAAGAACUGGUAAUACAAAAUUUUUUCCUGCUGCAAUCGGUGUUUAAACGUUCUUGUUUUUUUUUGUUUUUUUUUAAUUAUAAAUUAUAGGGACUUUUACUAGCUGCGUUGUUAGCAACAUCGAACUUAUCUAGUGAUAUUUUCAAUAAAUGUUUAGGUAGCAAUUUGCCUGCAUUUCAACUUGUGACUUGCUAGACAUUUGCUCAGUAUAAAUACUAUCUAUAGUGCCUGUUCAUAUGUUCCCUUAAAGGUGAAACCAACACCCCCUUCAAACAUUCUAUUGAGUAACAUUGUGUCAUGGUAUUUGUUCCAGUGUUUGUAUAGUUUUGUCUUUCAGUGUUGUGAGAUGCUUUAGAAAGUUGUCCUCUUGCAAUAUUUUUUUUUAAAUAAUGAUGUGAACAUAUAACUAUGAAAUAUAUUUUUACCUUCAUAUUGUAUUGGGAAAUCUCUGUAAUAGUGCUUGGCAUGUUUCUUAUUUUUAUAACUGUAAAGAUAGGUUUAAAACAAGUUUACUACCAGUAAAUCCUUUCCUUAUAAAUUCUCUUCUUUUAUCCUAGUAAUGUUAGAAAUUUGUAUGAGAAUAAUUUCUUUGUCAGUGAACAACCAUUUGAAUUAUAAUUAAUAAUGAUCAUCAGUAGAAAUGUUAUUAGUUAAUUUCUUGACAUCUUUGAUUUGGUGUGAACAAACCAAUAGACAGCUUUUAGAUUGCAAACCUAGCAACAGUACCAAUUAGGUAUACAAGUGUGCAAUUGAAAUAGUCAUUUAGUGAGGCAUGCUUUAGCACAAAGAUAAAACAAUUUCAAAAUUAUUUCUUUUAGCCUUAAUAUUUCUUUUAUUUAUAAAUACAUAUGAAAUAUUAAACAUACAUAGCUUGAUUUAUGUAAAACGGAAAAUGAUUUAACAAAAUACUGAAUUUUUUAAUUUUUUUUUUUAAAUUCUUUGCUGCUUGAGACCUUACCCCAGUAAUUGUUGUCACUGUAGUGUAGUCAGAGGAGCUGUGUGGGAGUAGGUUCUAAAGAAUGAUGUAUAUAUGUUUCACUAUGUGUAUAUGUUUCAAGAGCUUCAAGAUUAUUGCAUGAUGUGGAUGGAACAUGAGAUGUGUAAACAAAAAAAUAUCUUUACUGUGAUAAACUAUAAAACCAACAAAAACAAAACGGGUGUAUAAUGCAUCCUCUUUCACAAAUUGACAUUUGUAAUAAAAGUUGAAUUCAUGUCCUUUAUGUGUUAGCUGGUUAUUUGUAAUAUAUUGUAAUUUAUAUAUAACUUAGCCUUUUCUACAACUUAAAAAAAUGUUGCCCUCUUUUUUUAAACUAGAAAUUAGCCAUCAUUUUUACAUAUUUCUUGCAAGACCAAAAUUAGGAUUAAUUAUUAGGUGACAAUGUUUAAAAAAAAAGUACAAGGUACAUUCCAUGACAAAAAAUGAUGGAGUGAUAACUUAAAAGUACUUCUUCACUACUAAUUACCCAAUAAAGCCUGAAAUUGAUGUUUUUUCAUGACAGUUCCAAUAGGGACUAUAUUUUAAAAGCGUGGUCGAUAGGCUAAGUACGCUUGAACGUGGCUCAGCUAGCUAUGAAGGGGGCUCGAAGUUCGACACCCGACUAAGGCAGAGUUGUGUUUACUGAGUGCCUAAAGGCAGCACUGAAAACCUACUCCUAGAUACCCCCCCC